rnacentral:rRNA from 1 species
AUGGCGCCGGAGGUGAAGGUGUACGGGUGGGCGGUGUCGCCGUUCGUGGCUCGCCCGCUGCUGUGCCUGGAGGAGGCCAACGUCGACUAUGAGCUCGUUCCCAUGAGCCGUGAGGCCGGCGACCACCGCCACCCGGACUUCCUCGCCCGGAACCCCUUCGGCCAGGUCCCUGUCCUCGAGGACGGCAACCUCACCCUCUUCGAGUCGCGCGCGAUCGCGAGGCACGUGCUGCGCAAGCACAAGCCGGAGCUGCUGGGCUCCGGCUCGCCGGAGUCCACGGCGAUGGUGGACGUGUGGCUGGAGGUGGAGGCCCACCAGCACCACCCCGCGGCCGCCGCCAUAUUCGUGCAGUGCAUCGUGUCGCCGCUCCUGGGCGGCGCGCCGGACCAGGCGGUGGUGGACGAGAACGUCUCCAAGCUGAGGAAGGUGCUGGAGGUGUACGAGGCGCGGCUGUCGGCGUCGAGGUACCUCGCCGGGGGAGACAUCAGCCUCGCCGACCUCAGCCACUUCCCCAUCAUGCGCUACUUCAUGCAGACGGAGUACGCGUCAAUGGUGGAGGAGCUGCCCCACGUGAACGCGUGGUGGGAGGGGCUCAAGGCCAGGCCCACGGCGAGGAAGGUGGCGGAGUUCAUGCCGCCGGACCUUGGGCUUGGAAAGAAGGCAGAGCAGUUAUGA